rnacentral:misc_RNA from 1 species
UUUUUUUUUUUUUUUUUUGAUAUAAUUGGCUUCAAGUAGGACUCAAACUUGAAAUCUUACAGCUCUAGAAACGACUCUAAUAUUGCUAAGCUAAAGCUCAUUGGUUCCAUGAAGAGAGUUUAAUUAGGGAACCAAUCAAUGGAAAAUGUACUUUCAUAUCCAAGACACUCUUUAACCACCAAACAUUCCCAUAUAAACAACAAUAAGGAAAACAGAAAAUAAUUCAGCCCUCAUUUUCUACACCUGUAUCUUCUGUCAUUAAUGGAACCAGAAGACCGGAAAAUGACACAAUUCAGUUGUACUUCAGAUUAUCAGUCUUUAUACUAGGUCCUUUUGCUCACAAAUCAAUUGGAACAUACAAAAGAAAUAAAAAGGACAAAUGAGAGAUGGCUGUAGUUUCUUACCACAUCAAAAUGCAAACGGUAAAAUGCUAACGGUAUUUUAGUUUCCUAAGUACUGAGACAAGUCCACAAUUUGGCAAACUAAUAUAUACCCAGAAACAAAACUGCAACCUUUUUCUUCACCUCUUGUAAUUUUCUCAUCAACCAUACACAUGCAAUUAACAAUAAACAAGAGAGUGGUUGAUAUUUAAGCACAGGAAGUCAGGAAAGAUAGUGAAAAUUUUAUCAUUCACAAUUUUAUGUAACCUUAUGGAUGCCUAGAAUCUCAAUUUAUGAGACAUGACCAUUGGAUGCAAUACAACCAGCAAGUCUCGAUAGACAGAUGAUCAAUCUUCCUAUAUAGAAUGAUCAGAUCCAUAAACACAUCUAAAACUUCAAAAACCUUUCAAUUUUUCCUGCAUUUUCUCCUUGACAAAACACAAAAUAAAUUUAUUUCAGAUUGUUGGAGAAAAAGGCCUUGGCGUAGAAAAACAUUAGCAAAAAUUAACACUAAAAUGAAAAGGAAAUUGAGAGAGCAAAAGAAAGAGUUUAAUUUUUAGGACCAUACCAGCAUUUGACGGAAUUCCUCUUC